GCUGGGCGAGAGGGUGUCUCCUGGGUCCACCGUGGAAGCCCGAGGCGCGGGUGCGGAGCCAGCCCAGGGCUGCCGGCGUGAGCUGCAGGGCUGGCCUGGUGCUCAUCCUCUGCCCGGGGCGCGGGAAAGGCGAGGGACGCUGUGCUGGAUCUGUGUGCUCAGUGGCCAUGCGUCGGCCUCAGGACUGGGAACGAGGCGAGAGACACAGAUGUGGGUGCAGGAUCUGCGCUUGCAGCCACCUUACUUCGUGGGCUGUACCUGAGGUGACAGGCAGGGUCUUCUCUGAUGAAGUUACCCACACGAGUCACCACGGGAUGACGGUGAGCAGGUGCCACGGAAGUGAGGUGUGGCCGUGUGAAUCACUCCGAUGGGACACGAGUGACAUGUGGACACCAGCUCCUAGAAGGGCACUGAAGAGCAGCGACACACUCCUUCCCAGCCCUUGCCUCCUUUCUCCGGGAAUACUGUGGUUAGACUCAGGACAGCCCCCUGGAGGCUGUGUGCUGAAGCUCUGUGCCUGAGCCGCAAAGAAAAAAUAGAACAUGGGCCCCUGAUGGAUGAUUCGACCUUUUAUUUCAACUUAAAAAAAUGUUUCCAAGUUUUCUCUGUUGUAUU
rnacentral:lncRNA from 1 species